UACGUAGGGUGCGAGCGUUGUCCGGAAUUACUGGGCGUAAAGAGCUCGUAGGUGGUUUGUCGCGUCUGCUGUGAAAUCUGGGGGGCUCAACCCCCAGCCUGCAGUGGGUACGGGCAGACUAGAGUGCGGUAGGGGAGAUUGGAAUUCCUGGUGUAGCGGUGGAAUGCGCAGAUAUCAGGAGGAACACCGAUGGCGAAGGCAGAUCUCUGGGCCGUAACUGACGCUGAGGAGCGAAAGCAUGGGGGAGCGAAUGGG
rnacentral:rRNA from 1 species